rnacentral:ncRNA from 1 species
CAAAAGUUUGGUUCUGGCUUAGCAUUUUGAUUGUGAUUACCAAAAAUACAUGGAAUUUCUGAGGAGAGUGAGGAUAAAAUAUUUUUUUAAAGAAAAAUAAAAUUUUUUUUUGACGAAGUUUUUGGUAUUAUUUUUGAGAAGAUGCCUAUUUCUAUUUCACUUCACCAGUAUUAAAGAUUAAUAAAUAUAGGAAACUAUGAUUUAGGGACUAAUCAAUAAACUUGGAAAAACUUGUGCCAGCCUCCGCGGUUAGACAAGUGGAGUUAAGUCAAAAUAUAACGGUUUAAAAGAUGGUUAGUUUGAGAAUAAGAUAGAUCUGAUUGUUUUUAUAAGUUAAAUUAGAAAAAUUAGUUUAAAAUUUUUUUCUGUCUUAAAAAUGAUGCCAUGAAAACUUUUAUUAAAACCAGGAUUAGAUACCCUGCUAUUUAAGAAGUAAAUAUAACAACAAUUAUACCUGAGUAUUACGAGUUUUAUGUCUUAAAACUUAAAGAACUUGGCGGUGCUCUAGACCCAGUCAGGGGAACCUGCCCCGUAAUCGAUAUUCCACGUAGUACCUGACUUUCUUUUGCAGUUCAGUUUGUAUACCGUCGUCAUCGGGUAACUUUUAAAAAGAAAGAAGUUAGCUAAAAGAAUUUUUUUUCUUUAUGUCAGAUCAAGGUGCAGCUAAUAAGAAAGGGGUGGUGGGUUACUGUGAAAAAUUUUUAAUGGAUCUUUCUAUGUAAUAAGUAAGUGAAAAAGGACUUGAGAGUAAGCUUUAGAAAGAGUGUUGAGCUGAACUAGGAUUUUAGAGUGUGCACAAAUCGCCCGUCGCUCUCGUUGAAAAAUGAGAUAAGUCGUAACAUAGUAAAGGUACCGGAAGGUGUCUUUAAAAUAAA